UACAGAGGGUGCGAGCGUUAAUCGGAAUUACUGGGCGUAAAGCGCGCGUAGGCGGCUUUGUAAGUCGGUUGUGAAAUCCCCGGGCUUAACCUGGGAAUGGCAUUUGGGACUGCAAGGCUGGAGUGUGGCAGAGGAGACUGGAAUUCCCGGUGUAGCAGUGAAAUGCGUAGAUAUCGGGAGGAAUACCGAUGGCGAAGGCAGGUCUCUGGGCUGACACUGACGCUCAUGCACGAAAGCGUGGGGAGCAAACAGG
rnacentral:rRNA from 1 species